rnacentral:lncRNA from 1 species
AUGGGGAUCAGCAAACGCAUAGGACAGGUACACUCCCUUCUGAGUGACAGCACUUCCCAAAGCCUCGCUCUGCAGCCCUGGAGCCUGCUUCAGCAGCCCUGGGAGCCUGGCCAUGGUGAGGGGAAUAAUACCCAGAGUUGUGGUGCUGAGAAGGUGAAGCUGCAGCGUGAGCCCACCUGGAAUCCUCACUGUAGGAGAAAUGCACUGGGAGCAGCCGUGGACGGGCAGGGUCACCAGCACUGCGGUGCUCGCUCCGUCUCAGUGACUGCAAUUUGUGUGGGACAAUCUGCUCCUUGCACGCGUUGCUCAGAGGCGGAUCCUGUUCAGAAACCCCUUCUCUGCCCCUGUGGAACAGAGGGCUAUGGCACCUUCACAUGGAACCACGCUCAACUGGAAUGUCACAGAUUUGCCUCUGGGGCCAACCUGAGCUGCAGCAGAGCAUGGAGAAGACAGUUUCAGAAGCUGAGACGUGUCUGUGUACCCUUCACAGAAGCAGCACUCCAGAAACAGUUCAUGGGACAGAAGAGAUGGCAUAUUUCGUUUAACAAUGGGGUGUUUAAGGCCUGGUUCUGCAAAGUACACUGGAAGAAAACAGGUAUUUCCUUAUGCAUCAUGCCCUAG